CCGGGCUUCCCACCCCUUCCCUCGCCGCCCGGGCCCGCCCUGGCCAGUUGCAGCGGCCUGGCCACCUCAGGAGCACGCUGUCUCUUCCCGACGUGCAGCCCGGGGCCCGGCCCUGUCCCCGGGUGACUGCUCCCCGGCAGGACUGCACAUCUGUGGCGGCAGGCCCAGCUCAGGGCUCGGGGGAGGGAAGCCUCACGAGCCUGUACACUUGGAGGAGCCCUAAGCGUUAGGAUCUGCUGCGAGGGCUGCCUGGAACGGAGGUGAGAGGAUACAAGUGGCCCGGGGCAAGCAUAGUGAAUCACUGGCUAAUCUGGCCUUCGAGGUAGUGAAAGGAAAAAAGGGAAAUGAAGCUGACUGUGGCUGAAUGUAGUAGGUCUUGAAGGCCAAAUGGGGCGAUCUGAUUUUUAUUCUAGAAGCAGAGGAGAAACUAAAGAUUUUUUUAGGAGACUAUAUUCAAGCUUGUAUCAUUAGUUCAUCAGACGUUUAUGGACCACCCACCGUCCGUGCACUCACGGGGCUUGCAGUCUAUCUGGCUGAAUCACUUUGGCAGCCAGUGUGAGGAGGGCACAGAAAGGAGACCAGGUGAGAAAGCCAGCCUGACCAAAGAAGAUGUGGCAACUGAUGGGAUUGGAGGAGGCGGACAAUGUCCUCCAGACAGCUGGACUGGCUCUCUAUAUAUUUAUUUAUCUCUUCUACACCUCCAGCCCCCACCUCCACACUCACUAACUGGACUCAACUAGUGGGGGCAAAGGACAGACUAGAUUUUAGUGAAAUGGAAUUUCUACCUCCAGCGGCCCCUGGAACAGUAGCACACAACGAUCUAACAACUGCUUGUAUGAUUGGAUGGUGUAAGUGCGGACAGAAUUAGGGAAUUUGGGCUACUCUGGGCACACUGCUUAUGGGGCAGCCCUGCUCCGCAAGGAAAAUAAACACAUUUUUUUAAAAAAAGGCCGGGCGCGGUGGCUCACGCCUGUAAUCCCAGCACUUUGGGAGGCCAAGGCAGGCGGAUCACGAGGUCAGGAGAUCGAGACCAUCCUGGCUAACACGGUGAAACCCCAUCUCUACUAAAAAUACAAAAAAUUAGCCGGGCGUGGUGGCGGGCGUCUGUAGUCCCAGCUACUCGGGAGACUGAGACAGAAUGGUGUGAACCCGGGAGGCAGAGCUUGCAGUGAGCCGAGAUCGCACCACUGCACUCCAGCCUGAGCAAUAGAGCAAGACUCUGUCUCAAAAAAAAAAAAAAAAAAAAAAAAAAGGCCGGGUGCGUUGGCUCACGCCUGUAAUCCCAGCACUUUGGGAGGCUGAGGCGGGCAGAUCACCUGAGGUCAGGAGUUUGAGAACAGCCUGGCCAACAUGGUGAAACCCCGUCUCUACUGAAAAUACAAAAAUUAGCCAGGCAUGGUGGCGCAAGCCUGUAAUCCCAGCUACUCGGGAGGCUGAGGCAGAAGAAUUGCUUGAACCUGGGAGGCGGAGGUUGCAGUGAGCCGAGAUCAAGCCACUGCACUCCAGCCUGGAGUGCAGGGCAAGACUCCGUCUCAAAAAAAAAAAAAAAAGGGAAUUCGGAGACCAGCCUGGGCAACACAGUGAAACCCCAUCUCUACUAAAAUACAUUUAAAAAAAAAUUAGCUGGGCAUGGUGGUGUGCGCCUGUUGUCCCAGCUACUUGGGAGGCUGAGGCAGGAGAAUUGCUUGAACCUGGGAGGCAGAGGGUGCAGUAAGCCGAGAUCAUGCCACUGCACUACAGCCUGGGCAACAGAGCAAGACUCGUCUCCAGAAAAAAAAAAAAAAAAAAAAAAGAUGUUCAUAAAUGGUAGGAUAGGCUGGGGAUGGAGGCUCACACCUGUAAUCCUAGCACUUUGUAAGGCUGAGGCAGGCAGAUCACUUGAGCUCACAAGUUCGAGCCUGGGCAACAUCGUGAGACCCCGGCUCUACAAAAAAUACAAAAAAUCAGCUGGGCAUGGUGAUGCAUGCCUAUAGUCCCAGCUACUCUGGAGGCUGAGGUGGGAGGAUGACUUGAGCCCAGGAAGUGGAGGUUGCAGUAAGCCAAGACUGCGCCACUGCACUCCAGUCUGAGUGAUAGAAACCUUGUCUCUAAAUAAAUAAAUAAAUAAAUAAAUAACUCCACAAAUGGUGGGAUAUAGCUAUGUGAAAGUUUAGUCCUAGAGUUUAGGUAAGAGGUCUGAGCCAAAGUACAGAUAUGACCCAGCCUAUUAGUACCCAUCCUUGAAAGGAAAUGGCAGAAUUCACUGUUUAAAAGGCUCCAACACUAAGGUCCUAACUGAUCUGGUCCCUGCCUUGUCCUCUCAUUCUACCUGUGACACUCUCCUGGGCCCCACCCAGUGCUUUAACCAUUCCCCGAGGAUGUCAGCAUCUUUCAUACCCCCCUCAACCCUCAAACCUUGCCCCCUGGCUCAGCACAAGGAACAGUCAGGUCUCCUAGGCAGUAAAUCACUCCCUCCUCUUGCUCCCACAAUUGUAAUUAUAUGCUUAUCUGCAUCGCAAAACUAUAAGCUCCUCUCAGCAUGGGCCAUGUUUUGUCAUCUCUGUAUCUCCAGCAUCUGGCCCGUUAUCUGGUACUCAGUUGGCCCUCUACCUUUGUUGAAUGAAUGUUAGUGUGAAUGGGAUGACGUGGGAAAGGAAGAGAGGCCAAGGGAACCAGAGUCAAGUGGAGAGGACAAUAAGAAUUAGAAAGCCUUUCCAUUUCCCUUGGGAACAGUAUCACUGAGUCCAUAAAUAUUUAUUGAAAGCCUGUGUUCCAGGUAUACUCUAAUGACUUCAGGUUCACACCUGACUCCAAAGCCAUGAGUUUAAAUGUUCCAAUUAGUACCUGUGUGACCUUAUGUAAGUUGCUGAACCUCUAUAAAAUUGGAGCAAUAAGAGUUCCUAUCUCAUAGGAUUGCUGUAAAGACUGAAAGAGAUAACACAUGUAAGGUGUUCAGCACUGUUUCUGUCUCAACAUUUAAUGGACAAGGUGGGAAAGUGCCCAAAGUAUCAGGAAGGUACAUACUUAUAUGUAGAUUCAUGAGCAUUCUUUUAAUAAUCUUUCCUAAACAGUUACUGUGUGCAAACCACUGUUGUGAGAGCACUAUUGAGAGAUUUUGGAUUAAAUGUCCAUCAUAAGAGUGCACUAGAGACAAAGCAGACUAUUAUAGAUGAUGAAACUGUCCCAGAGGCCAAACACAGCAGUGAUAGGAAACUUCAACUGUGUUUUUAUUUACCUGGACCACAUUUGUAAAUGACCAUGGCAGGCCCUCAAUAAAUGCUGACUGACUACAUGAAUGAACAUGCUCAAAGACAGUUGUUCAGCUCUUGUCCCAGGUUCUAUCAUACCCCUCUCCCCCUUCCUGAGUUUCUUUUGUUCAGUUUGGCAAACAGUGAAUGGAUGUUUGCCAAAUAUUUGAGGAUGCUCAAAUAUCUGAUAUAGACCACUUAGCCCCAAAUCCUACCAAAUGGCAUCUUCAUGGCCCUGGGGUUCCUGCAAAACACUCAGUCUGAUGGAAAAGACAGACAUAUAGAUGAGCAAUUAUAUAUGUGGUGAGUGUUCCCAUAGAGAUAAACCCAGAGGGUUAUGAAAGCACUGGGGUGCGGGGGCACCUUAACUCAGUAUGGAGGCUAAUUCUUAAAGGUGAUGCAAAAAUGACACUUAAUUGAGCAUUAAAGGUCACUUUCUAGGCCGCGUAAGGUGGCUCAUGCCUGUAAUCCCAGCACUUUAGGAGGCUGAGGUCGGUGGAUCACCUGAGGUCAGGAGUUCGAGACCAGACUGGCCAACAUGGUGAAACCCUGUCUCUACUAAAAAAUACACAAAAAUUAGCCAGGCCUGGUGGCAGGCGCCUGAAAUUCCAGCUACUCAGGAGGCUGAGGCAGGAGAACCACUUGAAGGCAGGAGGCGGAGGUUGCAGUGAGCUGAGGUUGUACCACUGCACUCCAGCCUGGGCGACAAGAGCGAGACUCCAUCUCAAAAAAAAAAAAAAGAAAGAAAAAAAAGGACACUUUCUAGGAAGCAGGGAAAGGCAUUCUAAGUGGAGCGAAGCAUGUAUGUGAAGGCAUAGAAGCAAGAGAUGUGGCGGGUUUGGGAACGCUAAGUAGUUUGGUAUGACUCCAGUUCAGAGGGCAUAUGGGAGGGCAAGAAAGGUAGGCAUGAGUCAGUUUAUGAAGAGCCUUGUAUGCCACAGCAAGAAGACUGGAUUUUAUUCUGUAUAUGUUUUUCAGCCCUGGCUGCAACUAGAAUCAACUGGGGAGCUUUUAAAAUAUCAGUGCCUGGCUCUCACCUCCAGAUUGAUGCUAGAUGGUUGUUCUUAAUGGGAAGAGGCCAAAGCAUGUUUAUAUGCUGUAUGGAGAGUGACAAUGGGAUCCAGCAUACACAUGAAGAGAGUAGCCUCUGGCUAAGGAGAACGGAAAUAGAGUAAGUUCGUCAGUGGAAUGGGAGGAAAUUGAGGGAGUUUUGUCUAAAGGAGUCUAUUUUUUCCUUCAGUCAGAUGUUAGGUAGUUGCUGAACAUGGGGGAUGGGUAGGUGAUGGGAUAAAGAAUUGUAGGGAAGUGGUUCACUCUGGAGUAACUGAUGAUGGAAUGCUGGGAAAGCUUAGUGAACAGCUAAGUGGAAGGCCCCACUGGGUGGGAGACCAUAAGGAGUGUACCAGUUUAGAAGGCUGUGAUGUUUUCCGCAGAGCUAAGUGAGUGGGAGUCAGGAGAGCAGAAAUAGGACCAUUUGGGAUCUGCAGGGAAGCGAGAUGGAAGGCCUUGCUUGGGAGAGGGUUCAGUGAAGGCUGAGUAGAUGAAACUAAACCAAGGGUACACUGAUAAACUGGAUAAACUGAAGAGGUCAAGGAACUCAUAGGUUUGAUAAGGAUGAAGGCCAGGUGUAGUGGGGAAAGAAAACCCAGUCCAACAACUAAAAUUCCAUCCAUUUCAUGGAGCCUUCCUGACUAAUGGGAAAUGAGGUGGCAACUUCCCCCAGGUCCCACCCUGUCUGACUCACUCCUCACUCACUGCUCUUCAAAGGGCCCGUCUCCAUCCUCUUUCUCAAGAAGAGAAACCAUGGAUGUUGUUUCUAAAAGUUCAGCCUGAAAACCACUGUCUGUAUGAACUCAAUUCCCAUGAUUUUUUGAGGCUUUAUAUGUUUCAGCACAAAUAUUAAAUGGAGGUAGGAUAGAGAAGCAGAAAUGGCAAUGAGGAAAAAAAUGGAAAAAGGAUGAAGCCAGCUGCAUUCCCUAUGUUCGAAUGUUUCCAUCCUGUCAGCAGCUGAGAGCACUUAUGGCAAAGUGGCAAGAGUCGUAGAGUAUGCCAUGACAAAACAAAGUCUGAAGGACUGGUGGUCAGUGUGGCGGGAAGAGAGGCAAGCAUGGCACCAAAGAGCUCCGGUUUUGAUCUCCAGUGAAUUACACACAGCCACCCACGAAGAACUGAGCCCGACCUAGCAAGCACAGACAAGCGAGGCAAGAAUUCAUCACAACUGCACAGAGAAAGCUAUGUGUGGUGAAGGGCCUCCUUUAGGGACUGACUGUAGAAAAACUAUGGAACUGAGUGGUUAGCUAGUCUAGACAGGGAAGAGAUACAGUUCAGAAGGCAUGAAAAAGAACAUUUCAGGUGAGAGGUCUUAUCAUUUGGCCUCAAGUCAAAAGAACACAAUUUCUUAAUGAAAGAACGUAGGCAACAACUAGGUGGGAGAAAUACAAUUCACAAAACUAGAUUUGAAAUUGACUUAUCAUGUCAGGUAAUCCAAUGUAAAAAUGCUCCAGUACCUACUCCACACAUUACUAGGGAGAUACCAUGGGGGACGAAAUAUGCACAAAAAGCGUCUCCUGAGGCUAAGCUCCUGAGACAUGAGCACAGGGGAGCUGCAGAGGGAAGGAGAGGUUAUGACCUCUUAGAGGAAUUGGUCAAUCGUUUUUUUCAAGCAACAAUCACUGAGAGCAGAGAGUUCCAGAUGUUACCCUAUGAAUAGAUAAUAUGUAUUGUGCUUCUACUGUUGUCAGCAUUAUCCUAAGCACUUUAUAUAUAUUAACCCAUUUAAACCUCACAGCAACCCUAUGAAAUAGCCAUUAUUAUCGACCCCAGGAAUAAGGAGGCAAAGGCAUAGAGAAGUGAACUAACUUGCCCAAGGCCACACAGCUGGUAAGUAGCACAGCUAGGAUUUGAACUGGGGCAGUCUGGCACGAAAACCUGCUUUUUAAAUCAAAAUGUUAUUUUAUACUACUUCUCCAAAGACAAAUCAUAAUAGUAAUAAUAGUAGCACUACCAUUUAUAGUGUUUAUGAUAUGGGCUAGAUGCUAUAGUAUGCCAGGCACACACAUUAUCUUGCCUAAGAUCACUCAGCUCUCAGGUGGAAGAGCUGGAUUCAAAGUUCAGGAUGCUUGAAUCUGGGAGACAAUAAAGUGCACCAGGAGCUAGAAUAAGUUUGUACAAGGUACAAAUGUGGAGCAUAAAAGAGGAGGUAAUUAAUCUUACCUGGUGGGAGUGGUAUUGAGUUGUGGGUUACUGGAAAACUUCACAACUUCACACAGGGGUGACUUUUUUUUUUCUUUUUUUUCUUUUUUUUUUUUGAGACAAGGUCUGGCUCUGUUGCCCAGGCUGGAGUGCGGCGGCACAACCACAGCUUACUGCAGCCUUGACCUCCCAGGCCCAAGCAAUCCUCUCACCUCAGCCUCCCGAAUGGCUGGGACCACAGGUGUGUGCCACCACACUUGGCUAAUUUUUUAGUAGAGACAGGGUCUUCGUGUGCUGUCCAGGCUGGUCUCGAACUCCUGGGCUCAUGCAGUCCUCACGCCUCAGCCUCCCAAAGUACUGGGAUGACAGGCGUGAACCACUGCACCGGCAAGAGUGGGGUGACUUGUGAGCUGAUUUUUGAAAGAUGAUUGGGUAUUCAUCAGACAGAAUGAUAGGGCAGUGUUCCAUGCAGAGGGAACAGUGGGAAUAAAGGAAUGGAGGUUUGAAAGAGCUGUCACAUUCAGGAAACUGCAAGCAAUGUUGAUGGCUUGGGAAUUGAGUGGGUGGCAUGACAAUAAGAAGGAGGCAGGGGGCUGCAUCACACAGAAUCUUACUUGCCUUUCCAGAAAAUCUGAGCUAUUUUUUAAGUUUUUCCAAUGAAGUAAAUGUAAUGGCCAAAAAGAGUAAAUAAAUAUCCCUAGGGAAUCUGGUGGCUUAGUCUGAAGCUGUUCAGACUAGUAGGAAUUCUUUGAAGACUAUUUUUUCUUAAUAAUGCAUGCAUGCUGGCUGGGUGUGGUGGCUCAUGCCUAUAAUCCCAGCAUGUUGGGAGGCUGAGGCAGGAGGAUCACUUGAGCUCAGGAGUUUGAGACCAGCUUGGGCAAUGUGGCAAAAGCAAUCUCUACCAAAAAUUAAAAAAUUAGCCUGGUAUGGUGGCGCACGCCUGUAGUCACAGCCACUUGGGGGCUGAGGUGGGAGGAUCACUUGAGCUGGGAGAUGGAGGUUGCAGUGAGCCAAGAUCGCACCACUGCACUCUAACCUGUAUGACGCAGUGAGACCGUGUCUCAAAAUAAAAUAAUAAUGCAUGCUAAAUGUGUGUUCUCUGUUUUAAAUUACUCUUAAGUAAAAUGAACAUUCCAGGAUGAUUUUACCUUGUAAUUUUCAGUAUGCCUGGCACACCCACCCCUACCAACCCACCCACCAGGUAUGUUGUCCAUAUGCCCCCAUCUCUACCAAAAAUACAAAAAUUAGCCAGGUAUGGUAGCGAGUGUCUGUAGUCCCAG
rnacentral:lncRNA from 10 species